ACGGAAGGCAGCAGUGAGGAAUAUUGGUCAAUGGUCGGAAGACUGAACCAGCCAAGUCGCGUGCAGGAAGACGGUCCUAUGGAUUGUAAACUGCUUUUGUACGGGAAUAAAGUGGGGGACGUGUCCCCUUUGGAAUGUACCGUAAGAAUAAGGGUCGGCUAACUCCGUGCCAGCAGCCGCGGUAAUACGGAGGACCCGAGCGUUAUCCGGAUUUAUUGGGUUUAAAGGGUGCGCAGGCGGAGGAUUAAGUCUGCGGUGAAAUGUUCAUGCUCAACAUGAAAACUGCCAUUGAUACUGGUGCCCUUGAGAGAUGUCGAGGAUGGAGGAAUGUGAUGUGUAGCGGUGAAAUGCUUAGAUAUGUCACAGAACACCGAUUGCGAAGGCAGCUGUCCAGAGAUCUUCCGACGCUCAGGCACGAAAGCAUGGGUAUCAAACAGGAUUAGAUACCCUGGUA
rnacentral:rRNA from 1 species